rnacentral:rRNA from 1 species
CCUACGGGAGGCUGCAGUGAGGAAUAUUGGUCAAUGGGCGCGAGCCUGAACCAGCCAAGUCGCGUGAAGGAUGACUGCCCUACGGGUUGUAAACUUCUUUUAUAAAGGAAUAAAGUGAGGCUCGUGUGCCUUUUUGUAUGUACUUUAUGAAUAAGCAUCGGCUAACUCCGUGCCAGCAGCCGCGGUAAUACGGAGGAUCCGAGCGUUAUCCGGAUUUAUUGGGUUUAAAGGGAGCGUAGAUGGGUUGUUAAGUCAGUUGUGAAAGGUGGAGGCUCAAACGUAAAAUUGCAAUUGAUACUGGCAGCCUUGAGUACAGUUGAGGUAGGCGGAAUUCGUGGUGUAGCGGUGAAAUGCUUAGAUAUCACGAAGAACUCCGAUUGCGAAGGCAGCAUACUAAACUGCCACUGACAUUGAUGCUCGAAAGUGUGGGUAUCAAACAGGAUUAGAUACCCUAGUAGUC